rnacentral:rRNA from 1 species
UACGAGGGGUGCAAGCGUUGCUCGGAAUUACUGGGCAUAAAGCGCGUGUAGGCGGCUGGGCAAGUCGGAUGUGAAAGCCCUGGGCUCAACCGAGGAAGUGCAUUCGAAACUGCCGAGCUGGAGUUCUGGAGAGGAAGGCGGAAUUCUCGGUGUAGAGGUGAAAUUCGUAGAUAUCGAGAGGAACACCGGUGGCGAAGGCGGCCUUCUGGACAGAAACUGACGCUGAGACGCGAAAGCGUGGGGAGCAAACAGG